UACGGAGGGUGCAAGCGUUAUCCGGAUUCACUGGGUUUAAAGGGUGCGUAGGUGGGCAAGUAAGUCAGUGGUGAAAUCUCCGGGCUUAACCCGGAAACUGCCAUUGAUACUAUUUGUCUUGAAUACUGUGGAGGUCAGCGGAAUAUGUCAUGUAGCGGUGAAAUGCUUAGAUAUGACAUAGUACACCAAUUGCGAAGGCAGCUGGCUACACAAAUAUUGACACUGAGGCACGAAAGCGUGGGGAUCAAACAGG
rnacentral:rRNA from 1 species